AAGAGUAUAAUUUAAUGGUAGAAUGUAAAGCUUCAAACUUUUUAGUUUCAGUUCAAAUCUGAGUGCUCUUG